AAGGAUGAAUGUAACAAGAAGCUCCUGGAGAAGUGAUAAUAAUAAAAUCUAACAGAGGCCACAGAACAAAUAAUCUAAGACGGUCUCGGUGCACUCGUAGAUGCAUGAACAACUGAAGUAUCGAUGAUAUUGUCUUGUUCAUCGUCUUGAGGAGGGUUGUUGUUUCUGGUCUCAGUACUCAUGGCUUCUACUUGAGGUGCCUCCAUCUGCUGUGAAGAAGAAAAAGCAAAGUGUUGAUUUGAAAUGGGGUUU
rnacentral:lncRNA from 1 species